AUUGAACGCUGGCGGCAUGCUUUACACAUGCAAGUCGAACGGUAACAGGCCGCAAGGUGCUGACGAGUGGCGAACGGGUGUGUAAUGCAUCGGAACGUGCCCAGUCGUGGGGGAUAACUACUCGAAAGAGUAGCUAAUACCGCAUACGAUCUAUGGAUGAAAGCGGGGGACCGUAAGGCCUCGCGCGAUUGGAGCGGCCGAUGUCAGAUUAGGUAGUUGGUGGGGUAAAGGCUCACCAAGCCAACGAUCUGUAGCUGGUCUGAGAGGACGACCAGCCACACUGGGACUGAGACACGGCCCAGACUCCUACGGGAGGCAGCAGUGGGGAAUUUUGGACAAAGGGCGCAAGCCUGAUCCAGCAAUGCCGCGUGCAGGAAGAAGGCCUUCGGGUUGUAAACUGCUUUUGUACGGAACGAAACGGCUCUGGUUAAUACCCGGGGCUAAUGACGGUACCGUAAGAAUAAGCACCGGCUAACUACGUG
rnacentral:rRNA from 1 species